AUUACACAAAAAUAAGUAAAGGCAGAGCGAAAAGCAAUUAAUUGAGAUAUAACGCUACUCCGACUCACUUAAGAGGAUACUUCUUCAUCUUAUCAACUAGUGCAGGCGAAGGGCAUUAGAUACCCUCCGACCUCCGACCUCCUGAAAGACGUAUCGAUCACCUCUACUACUCCAUUUGUCAUGGCAUCAGAGUACUGAAGAAAUUUUCCGAUCCGUUGGACAUAAUCUCAGUGCCUAUCGAUUUUGACAACUAGGAUAGAAGUUUUGUUCUUCGGUAUAAUCAAAUCAACAAAUGUAUCAAAGCCAAGAUUAUUAUUUUCUUCUCAUUAUUUUCUUCCUUUCAAUCGAUGCCGUUUUAGCAAAAUAUGUAUAAUUGAUGGGUAGAACGUUAUUAGGAAUGUUACGAGAAGAAGAUGCAUUUACCUUUCACAAACAGUGACUUUUGGAGUGGUUUGGCUGUCUCACAACUUCUGUUGCCACUUUUACUGUCACAGACGUUAUUUAUCACUCUUCUUGUUGAAAGUUCUUAUCUACGACUUGACGUCCAUCUGUUUCACGACAAAUGGCCACCUAUAAGUAUUGUCUUCAGACAAAUAUUGUCACCAAACCUAUUUAAGAGCUCUUUAAAAAAUAUUUUUAAGCAUUCGUUGCACGGAAGUGCUCUUACAAUGGACAUUAAGGCUAAAGUUAUCGCCAUCUUCAAAGUCUAACUUAUUAAAUACAGAAAUUACC
rnacentral:lncRNA from 1 species